GCAAGGGCCCGAGCGGCCAAGCGGCACGGGCUCCCCCGUUUCUCUCGCUUUGGAGGUGCCCGCUAUUGUUCACGGAGGCUCGGGAGAAGACUCAGGGACUUAAUCAGGACCAGAAGGGCCUAAAGAGGUCUGAAGAAUCUGUGUGCGUUUUACGAGCAGCUGUGAAUGGCUUUUCAGAGCUUCUGAAUAAUAGAUCAAGUCGGUUACAGUCAUCGUUCCCCCCUCCUACAUGCUUCAGUCCUGCUCCAGAGCCUGAUACGCAGAGGGGUAACACUGCCAGAGUAAAUGUGCAUAACACGAUAAAGAGCAGAACGCACGGUUUCCUUGGCAACUGAAUCUUUCAGAGGGACCCAACGACCAGCCAAAUUCGAAGAACACAAACCCAGGGGACUGAACGAAAUGAAAAAGUCAAAAGUCUUUAUUCACAUUUCAAAUUCCUCUACCGGAAAGCCUGAGAAAGCUUCAUUGCGAUUCAACUUUACCAGGGGUUAGCAAGGACAUAUCAGACGGGUGAAAUAAACCAGCAUUCCCUGCCUUUGGAUUCAGUUAAAACAGCAUUGCAGAAGCCUCGCUAAAUUUUGCAAUUUCGAUACUCGACUAGAACGAUGAGGUGUAAAUCAAACAGUCAAUUGAUCAACCACUCAGUUUUGAAGCAAAGGAAAUGUUUAUAAUUGGACUUUAAUUUAUCCGAGACUACUGGCUAACUUUCUGGAAGAAUUAAGGGGGAAAAAAUUCUUGGCAAGCUGUAUCGAACAGCCAUUCCUUUUGGCAAUUAAAUGAUUAAACGGAACUUUGUCAAAUUGGAGGAAGUAGUUUUAAUAUUGGAAGUGGGCAAUGCAGUAAAUAAGUAAGGGUAAAGUUUC